UACGUAGGUGACCAGCGUUGUCCGGAUUUACUGGGCGUAAAGAGCGCGCAGGCGGUCGUUCAAGUCGAGUGUGAAAGCCCCCGGCUCAACUGGGGAGGGUCAUUCGAUACUGAUCGACUUGAAGGCAGGAGAGGGUAGUGGAAUUCCCGGUGUAGUGGUGAAAUGCGUAGAUAUCUGGAGGAACACCGGUGGCGAAGGCGGCAUUCUGGACCGAAACUGACACUGAGGCGCGACAGCGUGGGGAGCAACAGG
rnacentral:rRNA from 1 species